AGGACGAACGCUGGCGGCGUGCUUAACACAUGCAAGUCGAGCGGUAAGGCCCUUUCGGGGGUACACGAGCGGCGAACGGGUGAGUAACACGUGGGUGACCUGCCCUUAGCUCUGGGAUAAGCCUGGGAAACUGGGUCUAAUACCGGAUAUGACCUCGCGAUGCAUGUCGUGGGGUGGAAAGCCUUGUGCGGCUAGGGAUGGGCCCGCGGCCUAUCAGCUUGUUGGUGGGGUGAUGGCCUACCAAGGCGACGACGGGUAGCCGGCCUGAGAGGGCGACCGGCCACACUGGGACUGAGACACGGCCCAGACUCCUACGGGAGGCAGCAGUGGGGAAUCUUGCGCAAUGGGCGAAAGCCUGACGCAGCGACGCCGCGUGAGGGAUGACGGCCUUCGGUUGUAAACCUCUUCAGCCCUGACGAAGCGAAGUGACGGUAGGGCAGAAGAGCACCGGCCAACUACGCGCCAGCAGCCGC
rnacentral:rRNA from 1 species